rnacentral:rRNA from 1 species
UACGUAGGGUGCGAGCGUUGUCCGGAAUUAUUGGGCGUAAAGAGCUCGUAGGCGGUCUGUCGCGUCGGUCGUGAAAACCUGCAGCUUAACUGUGGGCGUGCGGUCGAUACGGGCAUGACUGGAGUUCGGCAGGGGAGACUGGAAUUCCUGGUGUAGCGGUGAAAUGCGCAGAUAUCAGGAGGAACACCGGUGGCGAAGGCGGGUCUCUGGGCCGGCAUUGACGCUGAGGCGCGAAAGCCAGGGGAGCAAACGGG